UCAUCGAAACUCUUUUCGAUGAACUAGAACAAUUCUAGUUCACCUCAAUAAGGAUCUUUGAUCUGAAAACAAUCAUAGUGAGUUUUCAAUCCACCCGUGAUACCAGCAGCAUGUACUGAUAAUUUAGUAGAACAAAAAAUAUGAACCUCUAGGUGCAGUUACCAUGUGAUUCAUUCCUUUUAUCAUGAGUUCUGACUUGAUAGAGGUUAUGGAGAACUCGUCAAACCUCAUCGUCAAUCAUAUGCUAGAUUGGCUCAACUCGAGUUUACUUGUGAAUCUCGUGGAAACUCUUUUCCUCAGUAUUCAUACUUGGU
rnacentral:lncRNA from 1 species